rnacentral:rRNA from 1 species
UACGUAGGGUGCGAGCGUUGUCCGGAAUUAUUGGGCGUAAAGAGCGUGUAGGCGGCCUUACAGGUCAGCUGUGAAAACUCGAGGCUCAACCUCGAGACGUCGGUUGAAACCGUAUGGCUAGAGUCCGGAAGAGGAGAGUGGAAUUCCCGGUGUAGCGGUGAAAUGCGCAGAUAUCGAGAAGAACACCCGUGGCGAAGGCGGCUCUCUGGGACGGUACUGACGCUGAGACGCGAAAGCGUGGGGAGCGAACAGG